rnacentral:rRNA from 1 species
UACGUAGGGUGCGAGCGUUGUCCGGAAUUACUGGGCGUAAAGAGCUCGUAGGUGGUUUGUCGCGUUGUCCGUGAAAACUCACAGCUUAACUGUGGGCGUGCGGGCGAUACGGGCAGACUGGAGUACUGCAGGGGAGACUGGAAUUCCUGGUGUAGCGGUGGAAUGCGCAGAUAUCAGGAGGAACACCGGUGGCGAAGGCGGGGUCUCUGGGCAGUAACUGACGCUGAGGAGCGAAAGCGUGGGGGAGCGAACAGGA